rnacentral:rRNA from 1 species
UUAAGCGACUAAGCGUACACGGUGGAUGCCCUGGCAGUCAGAGGCGAUGAAGGACGUGCUAAUCUGCGAAAAGCGUCGGUAAGGUGAUAUGAACCGUUAUAACCGGCGAUGUCCGAAUGGGGAAACCCAGUGCAAUUCGUUGCACUAUCGUUAACUGAAUACAUAGGUUAACGAGGCGAACCGGGGGAACUGAAACAUCUAAGUACCCCGAGGAAAAGAAAUCAACCGAGAUUCCCCCAGUAGCGGCGAGCGAACGGGGAGCAGCCCAGAGUCUGAAUCAGCUUGUGUGUUAGUGGAACGGUCUGGAAAGUCCGACGGUACAGGGUGAUAGUCCCGUACACCAAAAUGCACAAGUUGUGAACUCGAAGAGUAGGGCGGGACACGUGGUAUCCUGUCUGAAUAUGGGGGGACCAUCCUCCAAGGCUAAAUACUCCUGACUGACCGAUAGUGAACCAGUACCGUGAGGGAAAGGCGAAAAGAACCCCGGCGAGGGGAGUGAAAAAGAACCUGAAACCGUGUACGUACAAGCAGUGGGAGCACCUUCGUGGUGUGACUGCGUACCUUUUGUAUAAUGGGUCAGCGACUUAUAUUCUGUAGCAAGGUUAACCGUAUAGGGGAGCCGCAGGGAAACCGAGUCUUAACUGGGCGUUAAGUUGCAGGGUAUAGACCCGAAACCCGGUGAUCUAGCCAUGGGCAGGUUGAAGGUUGGGUAACACUAACUGGAGGACCGAACCGACUAAUGUUGAAAAAUUAGCGGAUGACUUGUGGCUGGGGGUGAAAGGCCAAUCAAACCGGGAGAUAGCUGGUUCUCCCCGAAAGCUAUUUAGGUAGCGCCUCGUGAAUUCAUCUUCGGGGGUAGAGCACUGUUUCGGCUAGGGGGUCAUCCCGACUUACCAACCCGAUGCAAACUACGAAUACCGAAGAAUGUUAUCACGGGAGACACACGGCGGGUGCUAACGUCCGUCGUGAAGAGGGAAACAACCCAGACCGCCAGCUAAGGUCCCAAAGUCAUGGUUAAGUGGGAAACGAUGUGGGAAGGCACAGACAGCCAGGAUGUUGGCUUAGAAGCAGCCAUCAUUUAAAGAAAGCGUAAUAGCUCACUGGUCGAGUCGGCCUGCGCGGAAGAUGUAACGGGGCUAAACCAUGCACCGAAGCUGCGGCAGCGACACUAUGUGUUGUUGGGUAGGGGAGCGUUCUGUAAGCCUGCGAAGGUGGCCUGUGAGGGUUGCUGGAGGUAUCAGAAGUGCGAAUGCUGACAUAAGUAACGAUAAAGCGGGUGAAAAGCCCGCUCGCCGGAAGACCAAGGGUUCCUGUCCAACGUUAAUCGGGGCAGGGUGAGUCGACCCCUAAGGCGAGGCCGAAAGGCGUAGUCGAUGGGAAACAGGUUAAUAUUCCUGUACUUGGUGUUACUGCGAAGGGGGGACGGAGAAGGCUAUGUUAGCCGGGCGACGGUUGUCCCGGUUUAAGCAUGUAGGCUGGUUAUCCAGGCAAAUCCGGAUAAUCAAGGCUGAGGUGUGAUGACGAGGCACUACGGUGCUGAAGUAACAAAUGCCCUGCUUCCAGGAAAAGCCUCUAAGCAUCAGGUAACAUCAAAUCGUACCCCAAACCGACACAGGUGGUCAGGUAGAGAAUACCAAGGCGCUUGAGAGAACUCGGGUGAAGGAACUAGGCAAAAUGGUGCCGUAACUUCGGGAGAAGGCACGCUGGUGUGUAGGUGAAGUCCCUGCGGAUGGAGCUGAGACCAGUCGAAGAUACCAGCUGGCUGCAACUGUUUAUUAAAAACACAGCACUGUGCAAACACGAAAGUGGACGUAUACGGUGUGACGCCUGCCCGGUGCCGGAAGGUUAAUUGAUGGGGUUAUCCGUAAGGAGAAGCUCUUGAUCGAAGCCCCGGUAAACGGCGGCCGUAACUAUAACGGUCCUAAGGUAGCGAAAUUCCUUGUCGGGUAAGUUCCGACCUGCACGAAUGGCGUAAUGAUGGCCAGGCUGUCUCCACCCGAGACUCAGUGAAAUUGAACUCGCUGUGAAGAUGCAGUGUACCCGCGGCAAGACGGAAAGACCCCGUGAACCUUUACUAUAGCUUGACACUGAACAUUGAGCCUUGAUGUGUAGGAUAGGUGGGAGGCUUUGAAGCGUGGACGCCAGUCUGCGUGGAGCCAACCUUGAAAUACCACCCUUUAAUGUUUGAUGUUCUAACGUUGGCCCCUUAUCGGGGUUGCGGACAGUGUCUGGUGGGUAGUUUGACUGGGGCGGUCUCCUCCCAAAGCGUAACGGAGGAGCACGAAGGUUAGCUAAUCCUGGUCGGACAUCAGGAGGUUAGUGCAAUGGCAUAAGCUAGCUUGACUGCGAGCGUGACGGCGCGAGCAGGUGCGAAAGCAGGUCAUAGUGAUCCGGUGGUUCUGAAUGGAAGGGCCAUCGCUCAACGGAUAAAAGGUACUCCGGGGAUAACAGGCUGAUACCGCCCAAGAGUUCAUAUCGACGGCGGUGUUUGGCACCUCGAUGUCGGCUCAUCACAUCCUGGGGCUGAAGUAGGUCCCAAGGGUAUGGCUGUUCGCCAUUUAAAGUGGUACGCGAGCUGGGUUUAGAACGUCGUGAGACAGUUCGGUCCCUAUCUGCCGUGGGCGCUGGAGAAUUGAGGGGGGCUGCUCCUAGUACGAGAGGACCGGAGUGGACGCAUCACUGGUGUUCGGGUUGUCAUGCCAAUGGCACUGCCCGGUAGCUAAAUGCGGAAGAGAUAAGUGCUGAAAGCAUCUAAGCACGAAACUUGCCCCGAGAUGAGUUCUCCCUGAGACUUUAAGUCUCCUGAAGGAACGUUGAAGACGACGACGUUGAUAGGCCGGGUGUGUAAGCGCAGCGAUGCGUUGAGCUAACCGGUACUAAUGAACCGUGAGGCUUAACCUU